ACCAAAAAAAAAAUUUUAAAAGCAAAAAACAAAAAAAAAACUGAAUUCUAAAUUCCUUAAACAAUUUGGCUUAAUUUUUGUUCCGUUAUUCCUAGGCUUAAUUUUUGUUCCGUUAUUCUUAGGCUAAGUAAAAAGUAAUUUUUUGUACUUUUAUAGAAAAAUAAAAAAAUCUCACACUGAGGCAAUCGGGAGGACGACACCUUUAGCCGGAGAAAUCAUCCAUCAUCGAAAUUGGCAGUUCUUUAUCCAGUUCCAGAGACUUCUUUAUCCAGGUAGAGACUGCAUUAUACACAAACAAUGGAAAUCAAAAACGUUCACAUAGAGCGAAGCGAAGUAGAAGAGCUAGAAAUAGUACUUAUAUUUUGAUACUAGAAAAAAAUAUAUAUUUUGAUACUAAACAACUAA